UACGAAGGGUGCAAGCGUUACUCGGAAUUACUGGGCGUAAAGCGUGCGUAGGUGGUUUCUUAAGUCUGCUGUGAAAGCCCCGGGCUCAACCUGGGAAUUGCAGUGGAUACUGGGGGAGCUAGAGUGCGGUAGAGGGUAGUGGAAUUCCCGGUGUAGCGGUGAAAUGCGUAGAGAUCGGGAGGAACACCAGUGGCGAAGGCGGCUCACUGGGCUGACCUUGACGCUGAGGCGCGAAGGCGUGGGGAGCGAACGGG
rnacentral:rRNA from 1 species